rnacentral:sRNA from 1 species
AUGAGCCGGGGAAGGGCACUCCUGUAAGGGGGCACGGAGGUCUGAAAAAGCACGGGGAGUAUGGCCAACUUUCAGGAUUUUUAGCACAGCUAGAAGACCCAGCCUCGCCUUUAAGGAUGGCAAAUAGUGCCCUGAUCUCCGUUGGCUGCUUGGCCAUAUUUGUCACUGUGAUCUCCCUCUUGGUGUACAAAAAACACAAAGAAUACAACCCAAUAGAAAAUAGUCCUGGGAAUGUGGUCAGAAGCAAAGGCCUGAGUGUCUUUCUCAACCGUGCAAAAGCCGUGUUCUUCCCGGGAAACCAGGAAAAGGAUCCGCUACUCAAAAACCAAGAAUUUAAAGGAGUUUCUUAAAUUUCGACCUUGUUUCUGAAGCUCACUU